UUUAUUUUUCCAAUGGCAAAUUUGAUUUAAAGGAGUGAUCUGCUUUGAGAUGGACCCGCGGCGCAUUAGCUAGUUGGUAGGGUAACGGCCUACCAAGGCGACGAUGCGUAGCCGACCUGAGAGGGUGAUCGGCCACAUUGGAACUGAGAGACGGUCCAGACUCCUACGGGAGGCAGCAGUGGGGAAUAUUGCACAAUGGGCGAAAGCCUGAUGCAGCAACGCCGCGUGAGUGAAGAAGGUUUUCGGAUUGUAAAGCUCUGUCUUUGGGGACGAUAAUGACGGUACCCAAGGAGGAAGCCACGGCUAACUACGUGCCAGCAGCCGCGGUAAUACGUAGGUGGCAAGCGUUGUCCGGAAUUACUGGGCGUAAAGAGUGCGUAGGCGGAUAUUUAAGUGAGAUGUGAAAUACCCGGGCUUAACCCGGGCACUGCAUUUCAAACUGGAUAUCUAGAGUGCGGGAGAGGAGAAUGGAAUUCCUAGUGUAGCGGUGAAAUGCGUAGAGAUUAGGAAGAAA
rnacentral:rRNA from 1 species